GUAGUUAGCCGGUGCUUUCUUGUACGGUACCGUCAUUAUCGUCCCGUACGACAGGAGUUUACAAUCCGAAAACCUUCUUCCUCCACGCGGCGUCGCUGCAUCAGGGUUUCCCCCAUUGUGCAAUAUCCCCCACUGCUGCCUCCCGUAGGAGUCUGGGCCGUGUCUCAGUUCCAGUGUGGCCGAUCAGCCUCUCAGCUCGGCUACCCAUCGCAGGCUUGGUGGGCCGUUACCUCACCAACUACCUAAUGGGACGCGAACCCCUCUUAAAGCGGAUUGCUCCUUUGACCUCAUCCCGAUGCCGGGUCGUGGUCUUAUGCGGUAUUAGCACUUGUUUCCAGGUGUUAUCCCCCUCUUUAAGGCAGGUUGUUCACGCGUUACUCACCCGUUCGCCACUCAGUACAAAACCGAAAUUCUGUACUCCGUUCGACUUGCAUGUGUUAGGCACGCCGCCAGCGUUCGUCCUGAGCCAGAUCAAACUCUGA
rnacentral:rRNA from 1 species